rnacentral:rRNA from 1 species
AGCGAACGCUGGCGGCAGGCUUAACACAUGCAAGUCGAACGGGCACUUCGGUGUCAGUGGCAGACGGGUGAGUAACACGUGGGAACGUACCUUUUGGUUCGGAACAACACAGGGAAACUUGUGCUAAUACCGGAUAAGCCCUUACGGGGAAAGAUUUGUCGCCGAAAGAUCGGCCCGCGUCUGAUUAGCUAGUUGGUGAGGUAAUGGCUCACCAAGGCGACGAUCAGUAGCUGGUCUGAGAGGAUGAUCAGCCACAUUGGGACUGAGACACGGCCCAAACUCCUACGGGAGGCAGCAGUGGGGAAUAUUGGACAAUGGGCGCAAGCCUGAUCCAGCCAUGCCGCGUGAGUGAUGAAGGCCCUAGGGUUGUAAAGCUCUUUUGUGCGGGAAGAUAAUGACGGUACCGCAAGAAUAAGCCCCGGCUAACUUCGUGCCAGCCGCCGCUGUAA